rnacentral:rRNA from 1 species
UCCUGGCUCAGAAUGAACGCUGGCGGCAUGCCUAACACAUGCAAGUCGAACGAAGCCUUCGGGCUUAGUGGCGCACGGGUGCGUAACGCGUGGGAAUCUGCCCUUGGGUUCGGAAUAACAGUUAGAAAUGACUGCUAAUACCGAAUGAUGACGUAAGUCCAAAGAUUUAUCGCCCAGGGAUGAGCCCGCGUAGGAUUAGCUAGUUGGUGUGGUAAAGGCGCACCAAGGCGACGAUCCUUAGCUGGUCUGAGAGGAUGAUCAGCCACACUGGGACUGAGACACGGCCCAGACUCCUACGGGAGGCAGCAGUGGGGAAUAUUGGACAAUGGGCGAAAGCCUGAUCCAGCAAUGCCGCGUGAGUGAUGAAGGCCUUAGGGUUGUAAAGCUCUUUUACCCGGGAUGAUA